AGAAUUGGAAAGGUUGUAGAGCAUUUUGGGCGAGAGAGAAGAGAGAGAGUGAAAGUGAGAAAAUGUUUUCUCUCUCUCUGAAUAUUGGUUUUUAUAUGUUGUUUAGGUUGGAGAGAGUGGGCGCCACAUGGCCUCUUCUGGUGGCGCCACUUGGUUGUUUGACUUUGAGUCAACCAGGGGAUCCUGUGUGGAUCCCCCC
rnacentral:lncRNA from 1 species